rnacentral:rRNA from 1 species
CCUACGGGUGGCUGCAGUGGGGAAUUUUGGGCAAUGGGCGCAAGCCUGACCCAGCAACGCCGCGUGAAGGAAGAAGGCUUUCGGGUUGUAAACUUCUUUUAAGAGGGAAGAGCAGAAGACGGUACCUCUUUACUCAGCCACGGCUAACUACGUGCCAGCCGCCGCGGUAAUACGUAGGUGGCAAGCGUUGUCCGGCUUUACUGGGUGUAAAGGGCGUGUAGCCGGGCUGACAAGUCCGAUGUGAACUUCCGGGGCUCAACCCCGGACCUGCAUUUGAAACUGUUGGUCUUGAGUGUCGGAGAGGCAGGCGGAAUUCCUAGUGUAGCGGUGAAAUGCGUAGAUAUUAGGAGGAACACCAGUGGCGAAGGCGGCCUGCUGGACGACAACUGACGGUGAGGCGCGAAAGCGUGGGGAGCAAACAGGAUUAGAUACCCCAGUAGUC